AGAGUGGAAAGCAGCCAAGAAUGACUUGCCGACAUGGAGCAACUGAUGGGUCUAUCUGAACUGAAUUGCCUGUCGUUGGCAAGUUUGUUUUUGGCUACAUUUCACUUUCU
rnacentral:pre_miRNA from 1 species